rnacentral:rRNA from 1 species
GAUGAACGCUGGCGGCGUGCCUAAUACAUGCAAGUCGAGCGAACAGACGAGGAGCUUGCUCCUCUGACGUUAGCGGCGGACGGGUGAGUAACACGUGGAUAACCUACCUAUAAGACUGGGAUAACUUCGGGAAACCGGAGCUAAUACCGGAUAAUAUAUUGAACCGCAUGGUUCAAUAGUGAAAGACGGUUUUGCUGUCACUUAUAGAUGGAUCCGCGCCGCAUUAGCUAGUUGGUAAGGUAACGGCUUACCAAGGCAACGAUGCGUAGCCGACCUGAGAGGGUGAUCGACCACACUGGAACUGAGACACGGUCCAGACUCCUACGGGAGGCAGCAGUAGGGAAUCUUCCGCAAUGGGCGAAAGCCUGACGGAGCAACGCCGCGUGAGUGAUGAAGGUCUUCGGAUCGUAAAACUCUGUUAUUAGGGAAGAACAAAUGUGUAAGUAACUAUGCACAUCUUGACGGUACCUAAUCAGAAAGCCACGGCUAACUACGUG